rnacentral:rRNA from 1 species
UACGGGGGGGGCAAGCGUUGUUCGGAAUUACUGGGCGUAAAGGGCUCGUAGGCGGCCAACUAAGUCAGACGUGAAAUCCCCAGGCUCAACCUGGGAACUGCGUCUGAUACUGGAUGGCUUGAAUCCGGGAGAGGGAUGCAGAAUUCCAGGUGUAGAGGUGAAAUUCGUAGAUAUCAAGCGGAACACCGGUGGCGAAGGCGGCCUUCUGGACAGUGACUGGACGCUGAGACGGCGAAAGCGUGGGGAGCAAACGGGGAUUAAGAA